rnacentral:rRNA from 1 species
UGUCUCAAAGAUUAAGCCAUGCAUGUCUAAGUAUAAGCAAUCUAUACGGUGAAACUGCGAAUGGCUCAUUAAAUCAGUUAUCGUUUAUUUGAUAGUACCUUACUACAUGGAUAACCGUGGUAAUUCUAGAGCUAAUACAUGCUAAAAACCCCGACUUCGGAAGGGGUGUAUUUAUUAGAUAAAAAACCAGCGCCCUUCGGGGCUCCUUGGUGAUUCAUGAUAACUCAACGAAUCGCAUGGCCUUGCGCCGGCGAUGGUUCAUUCAAAUUUCUGCCCUAUCAACUUUCGAUGGUAGGAUAGUGGCCUACCAUGGUAUCAACGGGUAACGGGGAAUUAGGGUUCUAUUCCGGAGAGGGAGCCUGAGAAACGGCUACCACAUCCAAGGAAGGCAGCAGGCGCGCAAAUUACCCAAUCCCGACACGGGGAGGUAGUGACAAUAAAUACUGAUACAGGGCUCUUUCGGGUCUUGUAAUUGGAAUGAGUACAAUUUAAAUCCCUUAACGAGGAACAAUUGGAGGGCAAGUCUGGUGCCAGCAGCCGCGGUAAUUCCAGCUCCAAUAGCGUAUAUUAAAGUUGUUGCAGUUAAAAAGCUCGUAGUUGAACCUUGGGCCUGGCUGGCCGGUCCGCCUCACCGCGUGUACUGGUCCGGCCGGGCCUUUCCUUCUGGGGAGCCGCAUGCCCUUCACUGGGCGUGCCGGGGAACCAGGACUUUUACUUUGAAAAAAUUAGAGUGUUCAAAGCAGGCCUUUGCUCGAAUACAUUAGCAUGGGAAUAAUAGAAUAGGACGUGU